rnacentral:misc_RNA from 1 species
GUUUGACUUAUCAAAAUGUAUGAAUAGAAUUUUGCCUUGAGUUGCAUCGACAUGCAUCUUUUUAAUGUAUUCCGAAUACUGGUUUUGCAGCCAUUACUUGCAGGAUUCAUUGAUCAUAAUAAGCUCUAGAUUUUGCUUCAAUUGUUUCUUCUUAUAGUUCUUGCGUAGUAAGAGUACAACAUAAAUGAAUCAAUCGUCAAUUUCUGCUGAAAAACAAAGAAGUGAAUUUGGGAUUGUCAAGAGCGUAGAACUGAUACUCUGAUCCUCAUCUCAAACCUGCUAAGUUAUGUCACGAAAAAAAAAUUUAAUAAAAUUCUCACCCUGGCGGCAAGGCCCCAGCUCAACAUAUUGAACAAGGGAAAAUUCUACAACGCAUUGUAGUACUCCCUCAAUCACAUAGAAGUCAGUCCACCAUGAAAUAAAGGUCCACCCGACUUUUAUAUUAGUAAGGAAGCAUAACUAUAUCUCUUCGAC